ACGGAAGGCAGCAGUGAGGAAUAUUGGUCAAUGGGCGGAAGCCUGAACCAGCCAAGUCGCGUGAAGGAUGAAGGUAUUAUGUAUUGUAAACUUCUUUAGACGUAGAGAAAUAAGGGGAUCGUGAUCCCUGAUGCUAGUAUACGUAGAAUAAGGAUCGGCUAACUCCGUGCCAGCAGCCGCGGUAAUACGGAGGAUCCGAGCGUUAUCCGGAUUUAUUGGGUUUAAAGGGUGCGCAGGCGGUCUUUUAAGUCAGUGGUUAAAUCGUGGAGCUUAACUCCAUCCCGCCAUUGAUACUGGAGGACUUGAUUGCGGUUGAGGUUGGCGGAAUUCGCCGUGUAGCGGUGAAAUGCAUAGAUAUGGCGAAGAACUCCGAUUGCGUAGGCAGCUGGCCAAGCCGUAAAUGACGCUCAUGCACGAAAGUGCGGGGAUCGAACAGGAUUAGAUACCCUGGUA
rnacentral:rRNA from 1 species